GAUGAAGAACGCAGCGAAAUGCGAUACGUAAUGUGAAUUGCAGAAUUCAGUGAAUCAUCGAAUCUUUGAACGCAUAUUGCGCUCUUUGGUAUUCCGAAGAGCAUGCUUGUUUGAGUAUCAGUAAACACCUCAAAGACUUCAAUUUGUUUUGAAUGGCUUUGGACUUGAGCAAUCCCAACACCAGUCUUUACGAUCGGUGGAGGGUUGCUUGAAAUGCAGGUGCAGCUGGACAUUCUCCUGAGCUAAAAGCAUAUUUAUUUAGUCCCGUCAAACGGACUAUUACUUUUGCUGCAGCUAACAUAAAGGGAGUUUGACCGUAUUGGCUGACUGAUGCAGGAUUUCACAAGGGUCGGCAACGAUUCUUGUAAAACUCGAUCUCAAAUCAAGUAAGACUACCCGCUGAACUUAAGCAUAUCAAUAAGCGGAGGA
rnacentral:misc_RNA from 1 species